GACUUUGAUCCUGGCUCAGGACGAACGCUGGCGGCGUGCCUAACACAUGCAAGUCGAGCGAAGCGCGAGUGAUAGCUUGCUAUUAUUUGUGACUGAGCGGCGGACGGGUGAGUAACCCGUGGGUGAUCUACCUGGGAGACCGGGAUAACAGUUCGAAAGGGCUGCUAAUACCGGAUGAUGCCAUGAGCGCGAGUUGAUGGUCAAAGGCGUUAUCGUAGCGCUCUCAGAUGAGCCCGCGUCCCAUUAGUUAGUUGGUGGGGUAAUGGCCUACCAAGGCGACGAUGGGUAGCCGGUCUGAGAGGAUGGUCGGCCACACUGGGACUGAGACACGGCCCAGACUCCUACGGGAGGCAGCAGUGGGGAAUUUUGCGCAAUGGGGGCAACCCUGACGCAGCGACGCCGCGUGAGUGAAGAAGGCCUUCGGGUUGUAAAGCUCUGUCUGGGGGGAAGAAUAGUGACGGUACCCUCUGGAGGAAGCCCCGGGUA
rnacentral:rRNA from 1 species